rnacentral:rRNA from 1 species
AAUACGGGGGGGGCAAGCGUUGUUCGGAAUUACUGGGCGUAAAGGGCUCGUAGGCGGCCAACUCAGUCGGACGUGAAAUCCCUCGGCUUAACCGGGGAACGGCGUCCGAUACUGGAUGGCUUGAAUCUGAGAGAGGGAUGCGGAAUUCCAGGUGUAGCGGUGAAAUGCGUAGAUAUCUGGAGGAACACCGGUGGCGAAGGCGGCAUCCUGGAUCGGUAUUGACGCUGAGGAGCGAAAGCCAGGGGAGCAAACGGGA